AGCAGCCGCGGUAAUUCCAGCUCCAAUAGCGUAUAUUAAAGUUGUUGCAGUUAAAAAGCUCGUAGUUGAAUUUCGGGGUUAGUAGGUUGGUCAUGCCUCUGGUAUGUACUGGUCUCACUGAUUCCUCCUUCCUGAUGAGCCGUAAUGCCAUUAAUUUGGUGUUGCGGGGAAUUUGGACUGUUACUUUGAAAAAAUUAGAGUGUUUAAAGCAAGCUAACGCUUGAAUACAUUAGCAUGGAAUAAUGAAAUAGGACGUUCGAUCCUAUUUUGUUGGUUUCUAGGAUUGACGUAAUGAUUAAUAGGGAUAGUUGGGGGCAUUAGUAUUCAAUUGUCAGAGGUGAAAUUCUUGGAUUUAUUGAAGACUAACUACUGCGAAAGCAUUUGCCAAGGAUGUUUUCAUUAAUCAAGAACGAAAGUUAGGGGAUCGAAGACGAUCAGAUACCGUCGUAGUCUUAACCAUAAACUAUGCCGACUAGGGAUCGGAUGAUGUUAAUUUUUAAUGACUCAUUCGG
rnacentral:misc_RNA from 1 species